rnacentral:rRNA from 1 species
CCUACGGGAGGCAGCAGUGAGGAAUAUUGGUCAAUGGGCGUGAGCCUGAACCAGCCAAGUCGCGUGAAGGAUGACUGUGCUAUGGAUUGUAAACUUCUUUUAUAAAGGGAUAAAAUGAGGCACGUGUGCCUUUUUGUAUGUACUUUAUGAAUAAGGAUCGGCUAACUCCGUGCCAGCAGCCGCGGUAAUACGGAGGAUCCGAGCGUUAUCCGGAUUUAUUGGGUUUAAAGGGUGCGUAGGCGGGUUUUUAAGUCAGCUGUGAAAGUGUGUGGCUCAAACGUAGCAUUGCAGUUGAAACUGGCUGGCUUGAGUAGGUUUGAGGUAGGCGGAAUGCGUGGUGUAGCGGUGAAAUGCUUAGAUAUCACGAAGAACUCCGAUUGCGAAGGCAGCAUACUA